CUCACGAUGCACCGCAGCAGGCGUCUGGAAUAGAUCCCGCUAGUUUGUUUAUACUGCACUUCCUUUUAGGGUGGUUUGAGGCAAGGGAGCACUUGAGGCAAGAAGUAAUGUGGUGUAGGGUUUGACAGCAUCUUUCCACACCUUAUUUUUGCUUUUGUCAAGGAGGGAGGAGCAGAGGCUCCCAGCACGGCUUCUCAGCUACUUCCCAUCAGGAGGCUGUCACAGAGCGGGGCACGAGCCCCCACACGGUGGGGACAAUCUCCAAUUCCUCCAGCAUGCCCAGGCAGCUGUUCUGAGACUACCAGAAAAACCUUUGAGAGUGAAAUCCUAUGGCUGUGCAGGCAGUGAGGAGGCCCUGAUCUCAAGAGCUUUGUGCGGACAGAGCCUGAUGGAGGGCAGGGCGGCUGUGCGAAAGCUUGGCGUUUCUUCCUCUCCUGAGCCCGCUGCAAGGUCAGAGAUUGGGCUGUGAUCCAGUGCCCGCAACCUCCUUUCUGUCGCAGGGUAACACCUGUGUCUUGGACCUUUGCACGCAUCUGCGUGGCCCAGGGGCUCUGAAGCGUCCCUCUGAAUAGCUGCCGCGGCUUGAGGACCUGCGUCUCUGCACUCACCCACAGCUACAGGCUCAGAAAAACAAGCAAUGCGUUGAACUGACAAAAACCGCACGCAACGGUGGGCUAAAGACUUCUGUGUCAAGGCCACCAAGGAAAAA
rnacentral:lncRNA from 1 species